rnacentral:rRNA from 1 species
GACGAACGCUGGCGGCGUGCUUAACACAUGCAAGUCGAACGGUGAUGCUCCAGCUUGCUGGAGUGGAUCAGUGGCGAACGGGUGAGUAACACGUGAGCAACCUGCCCCAGACUCUGGAAUAAGCGCUGGAAACGGCGUCUAAUACUGGAUACGAAACUGGCCCGCAUGGGCAUGGUUUGGAAAGUUUUUCGGUUUGGGAUGGGCUCGCGGCCUAUCAGCUUGUUGGUGAGGUAAUGGCUCACCAAGGCGACGACGGGUAGCCGGCCUGAGAGGGCGACCGGCCACACUGGGACUGAGGCACGGCCCAGACUCCUACGGGAGGCAGCAGGGGGGAAUAUUGCACAAUGGGCGAAAGCCUGAUGCAGCGACGCCGCGUGAGGGAUGACGGCCUUCGGGUUGUAAACCUCUUUCAGCAGGGAAGAAGCGAAAGUGACGGUACCUGCAGAAGAAGCACCGGCUAACUACGUG